CUAAAAUACUUUUGGGAACACUUUUAAAGUGUAGCCAAUGAUUUUGACUUUUAGCUACAUUAAUUUUAGCAACACUUCUAAAGUGUACUCUUUAAUGGGAUAAACUACACUUUAUAAGUGUUGUUAUAGUUGGCAACAACUAUUUACAUGAAUGGCCACACUUCUAAAGUGUGUUAUUUUUAUAAUUGAAAGUACAACACAUUAAAAAUGUGACCUUAGUGUUUUCACCAAAAUUUUAUAUUCCCUCCAACAUUUUAACAUUAAAAUUUCAUCUCCCUCCCAUUUUUAUUUGCCCAAAAAAAUAACACAUUAAAGAAAAAUUAAAAAGAAUAAAACAUUAAAGAAAUAAAAAAAGGCCAUGUUUCCUAAAACUUCAGCUGAAGCUUCCAUUUUCAGCUGAAGAACCUGUCAUCUUCGGUGGCUUCAUCUUCAUCAUCGGUGGUCGUUCGGAGAUCUCGAUCUACUCGGAGUAAAUUUUUUCAGUCCGCGUGUCUCGGAUAUCGUGAUUCUGAAAAUGAAGCAGCACAGGUUUAUUUUAAGUAGAGCCAGGACUCAACUUCCAGUUUCUGCAGCGCUCAUCGCAGCAGUUGAUUUGUUUACUAGAAGAAUUGAUAUUCAAGCAGUUAACGUUGUUAUCAAUUCUGAUUUUCCUAAGAACUCAGAAACGUAUUUGCACAGGGGAAAUGGAGGUGAUCAAAUUUGAAGUGGAUGAUGAAGAG